CCCGCUCUCCACCUCUCACCUGUCCUGGAUUACUCCUUUGCCUGCUACUCCUCUCCAUCAGACCAUCUCCAACUCAGACCUGACUUGCCUCCCUCUCCAGCUCAGACCCACACUUUGUGCAAAUCAGAACGCCCCCCUGGCCCAGUUUGGAUCAGCGCUUUUCGUUUUCAUUAAUUUUCUUUUUAAUAAAAACAUAUUUUACUCA